CCUACGGGAGGCAGCAGUGGGGAAUAUUGCACAAUGGGGGAAACCCUGAUGCAGCGACGCCGCGUGAGUGAAGAAGUCCUUCGUUGUGUAAAGCUCUUUCAGUAGGGAAGUAAAUGACGGUACCUGAGUAAGAAGCCCCGGCUAACUACGUGCCAGCAGCCGCGGUAAUACGUCGGGGGCCAGCGUUAUCCGGAUUUACUGGGUGUAAGGGGAGCGUAGACGGGAGUGCAAGUCUGGAGUGAAAGUCGGGGGCUCAACCCCCGGACUGCUCUGGAAACUGUACGGCUGGAGUGCAGGAGAGGUAAGUGGAAUUCCUAGUGUAGCGGUGAAAUGCGUAGAUAUUAGGAGGAACACCAGUGGCGAAGGCAGCUUACUGGACUGUAACUGACGUUGAGGCUCGAAAGCGUGGGGAGCAAACAGGAUUAGAUACCCCUGUAGUC
rnacentral:rRNA from 1 species